AGAGUUGUUAUUCAAAUUUACUUCUUUUUUUUUUUUUGAGAGAGACAGGUAGCAUUCUAUCGGUUUCGUUUGUUUCAUUUAAAAAUAAAUUUAGCUGAAAAUGUGAAUCAAAUAGGAUUCAAACUUGGGUCUCGGAUACCAACCAUCAAGUCCUUUGCCACUUGCUCUAAGGACGGUCGGUUUCAAAUUUACAUUUACCGUAAUUUUUUUGUUAAGAAUUUGAUUUCAAAUUUAGAGUUAUAAUGAU
rnacentral:lncRNA from 1 species